GUCCGUAAGAAGAGGCAGACUGGGUUGGCACACAUUUGAUAUGCACUGGAUUUUCAUUAAUCCCGACCAUAAUCAGCAAGUGAAAGAUGUGAAAAGUUUAAAGGGAUCCUAUGGACUUCAGAACAGACAGCACAUCCUACCAUCGAAGCAUCUUGAAAGGGCGGUGCUUCAGGAAAGCAGCAUCCACCAUUAAGGAACCUCAUGCCCUGUUUGUGUAAUUACCACCAGGGAGGAGGUACCGUGCACAAUCCUGAUUUGAUGGAGACAGACGUGAGAAGCACGGAGGAACAUCUGGAGAAACUUCUGAAAUGCCCGCUUCGCUGCCGCUGCUACUGUGCGAUCGAGAAUCUCCGGAGGGGAUGGCCCCAAAUCCUUGGCUUUGCCUAUUGCCUGUUGCUGGGGCUGGGGUCGAAGCGCUUGGCAGAGAUGGUGUCGGAGGGCUGGUCAGAGGCUCAAAGUUUUUGGACGGACUGAAGAGUCGGCUGUGGUCGGGUGCUUCCAGGGUGCUGCAUCGGCAAGUUUGCGGCGCUGGAGGUUCAUGGCAGGGAGAGUUUUUCUUCCUUCUACCAUCUGCAUGAGAUGAUGGGACUUUCGAGAGACUUUGAGACUUUUUUUUUACCGUGCCCAUGGUCUGUUCUUCAUCAAAUUACAGUAUUGUUUUGCACUGUUGUAACUAUAUGUUAUAAUUAUGUGAUUUUUGUCAGUUUUUCAGUCUUGGUUUGUCUUGUGUUUCUGUGAUAUCAUUCUGGAGGAACAUUGUAUCA